UUCGAGUGGCGGACGGGUGAGUAACGCGUGGGUAACCUGCCUUACACAGGGGGAUAACACCUGGAAACAGGUGCUAAUACCGCAUAAGCGCACAGGGCCGCAUGGCCCGGUGUGAAAAACUCCGGUGGUGUAAGAUGGACCCGCGUCUGAUUAGCUUGUUGACGGGGUAGGGGCCCACCAAGGCGACGAUCAGUAGCCGGCCUGAGAGGGUGGACGGCCACAUUGGGACUGAGACACGGCCCAAACUCCUACGGAAGGCAGCAG
rnacentral:rRNA from 1 species